rnacentral:rRNA from 1 species
GACAGAGGGUGCAAACGUUGUUCGGAAUUACUGGGCGUAAAGAGCGUGUAGGCGGCUUGGUAGGUCCGCUGUGAAAACUCGAGGCUCAACCUCGAGAUGUCGGCGGAAACCACUUGGCUAGAGUCCGGAAGAGGAGAGUGGAAUUCCCGGUGUAGCGGUGAAAUGCGCAGAUAUCAGGAGGAACACCGAUGGCGAAGGCAGCUCGCUGGGACGGUACUGACGCUGAGGCGCGAAAGCGUGGGGAGCAAACAGG